rnacentral:rRNA from 1 species
UACGGAGGGUGCAAGCGUUAUCCGGGUUCACUGGGUUUAAAGGGUGCGUAGGUGGCCCUGUAAGUCAGUGGUGAAAUAUCUCAGCUUAACUGAGAGGGUGCCAUUGAUACUGCAGGGCUUGAGUACAGAUGAGGUAGGCGGAAUUGACGGUGUAGCGGUGAAAUGCAUAGAUAUCGUCAAGAACACCGAUAGCGAAGGCAGCUUACCAAGCUGUAACUGACACUGAGGCACGAAAGUGUGGGGAUCAAACAGG